rnacentral:rRNA from 1 species
UACGUAGGGACCGAGCGUUGUCCGGAUUCAUUGGGCGUAAAGAGCUCGUAGGCGGCUGCUCAAGUCGAAUGUGAAAACUCGAGGCUCAACCUCGAGCCUGCAUUCGAUACUGGGCGGCUAGAGUCUGGUGGGGGGAUCUGGAAUUCCUGGUGUAGCGGUGGAAUGCGCAGAUAUCAGGAGGAACACCGGUGGCGAAGGCGGGUCUCUGGGCCGAUACUGACGCUGAGGAGCGAAAGCGUGGGGAGCGAACAGG